rnacentral:ribozyme from 14 species
UCUUUCUUCUGUUGUUCUUAUUUCUUCACUCUUUCCCUAAAAUAAAUAAAUAAAGAAAGAAAGAAAAUAGUAGGCUUUGCAAAAAGAAAAGAAAAGAAAAACAAAACAAACA